rnacentral:rRNA from 1 species
GAUGAACGCUGGCGGCGUGCCUAAUACAUGCAAGUUGAGCGAACAGACGAGGAGCUUGCUCCUCUGACGUUAGCGGCGGACGGGUGAGUAACACGUGGAUAACCUACCUAUAAGACUGGGAUAACUUCGGGAAACCGGAGCUAAUACCGGAUAAUAUAUUGAACCGCAUGGUUCAAUAGUGAAAGACGGUUUUGCUGUCACUUAUAGAUGGAUCCGCGCCGCAUUAGCUAGUUGGUAAGGUAACGGCUUACCAAGGCAACGAUGCGUAGCCGACCUGAGAGGGUGAUCGGCCACACUGGAACUGAGACACGGUCCAGACUCCUACGGGAGGCAGCAGUAGGGAAUCUUCCGCAAUGGGCGAAAGCCUGACGGAGCAACGCCGCGUGAGUGAUGAAGGUCUUCGGAUCGUAAAACUCUGUUAUUAGGGAAGAACAAAUGUGUAGGUAACUAUGCACGUCUUGACGGUACCUAAUCAGAAAGCCACGGCUAACUACGUG